UGAGGAAUAUUGGUCAAUGGACGCAAGUCUGAACCAGCCAAGUAGCGUGCAGGAUGACGGCCCUAUGGGUUGUAAACUGCUUUUAUAUGGGGAUAAAGUGGGGAACGUGUUCCCUUUUGCAGGUACCAUAUGAAUAAGGACCGGCUAAUUCCGUGCCAGCAGCCGCGGUAAUACGGAAGGUUCGGGCGUUAUCCGGAUUUAUUGGGUUUAAAGGGAGCGUAGGCCGUUUGGUAAGCGUGUUGUGAAAUGUAGGAGCUCAACUUCUAGAUUGCAGCGCGAACUGUCAGACUUGAGUGCGCACAACGUAGGCGGAGUUCAUGGUGUAGCGGUGAAAUGCUUAGAUAUCAUGAAGAACUCCGAUUGCGAAGGCAGCUUACGGGAGCGCAACUGACGCUGAAGCUCGAAGGUGCGGGUAUCGAACAGG
rnacentral:rRNA from 1 species